UGCUGACCGGGUGUCUGCACUAAGUUCGGCAUCAAUAUGGUGACCUCCUGGGAGCGGGGGACCACCAGGUUGCCUAAGGAUGGGAUAACUGGCCCAGGUCAGAAAGGGAGCAGGUCAGAACUCCCGCACUGAUGGCUAGUGGGACUGCACCUGGGCA
rnacentral:SRP_RNA from 1 species